rnacentral:rRNA from 1 species
CACGUAGGGUGCGAGCGUUGUCCGGAAUUAUUGGGCGUAAAGAGCUCGUAGGCGGUGUGUCGCGUCGGCCGUGAAAACUUGCAGCUUAACUGUGGGCGUGCGGUCGAUACGGGCAUCACUGGAGUUCGGCAGGGGAGACUGGAAUUCCUGGUGUAGCGGUGAAAUGCGCAGAUAUCAGGAGGAACACCGGUGGCGAAGGCGGGUCUCUGGGCCGAUACUGACGCUGAGGCGCGAAAGCGUGGGUAGCAAACGGG